rnacentral:lncRNA from 1 species
GGAGAGAGAAAUGGUUAACAUAGGGGAUUGUCUAGACAUUCAAUUCAUUCACUUAAAAAAAAGGCUUUAAUGAGGCUAAAUUCACAUAGCAUACAAUUCACUCACUUGAAAUAUAUAAUGGGCUUUAGUAUAUUCACAGUCUUGUGCAUCUAUCACCACAAUCAACUUUAGAACAUUUUCAUUCCUCCAAAAAGUAUCCCAAACCUCUUAGCCAUCACCCUAUGUUACCCAAAUUCCCCAGCCCUGGGCAAUCACAAGUCUACUUUCUAUCUCUAUAGAUUUGCCUAUUUGGAACAUUUCCUACAAAUGAAAUUAUGUAAUAUAUGGUCCUUUGUGAAUGGCUUCUUUUGCUUAGCAUAAUUUUCAGGAUUCAUCCACGUUGUAGCAUGUCAUUUAUUUUUUCAGAUUUCCAAAUUCUAAUUCUUCACAAGUUAUACCACGUGAAGGCUACAUGCUGGGAUAAUAGUAGUUUAUCUUAGCAAUUUUAAAUUAUGGCUGCACAUCAGAAUCUCCUUUCCCCUGCCCCAUGACACUUUUUUUUUUUUUCCCCCGAGAUGGAGUCUUGCUCUGUCGCCCAGGCUGGAGUGCAGUGGUGCAAUCUCGGCUCACUGCAAGCUCUGCCUCCCAGGUUCACGCUUUUCUCCUGCCUCAGCCUCCCGAGUAGCUGGGACUACAGGCACCCACCACCACGCCCAGCUAAUUUUUUGAACUUUUAGUAGAGAUGGGGUUUCACCGUGUUAGCCAGGAUGGUCUCGAUCUCCUGACUUCCUGAUCCACCUGCCUUGGCCUCCCAAAGUGUAGUAAUCCCAAAGUGCUGGGAUUACAGGUGUGAGCCACCACGCCCAGCCACCAUGACGCUUUUAUAAAACCCAGAGUAUCAAGCUCCACUCUAGAGUCUAUGAUGUGCAGUCUGAGCUGACAACCAUUGGAUUAGCUAAUUACCUUCAGUGGGUUGUUAUUUAAUGUUAUGCAUUUGACUUUUACCUGAUAUUGCAAGUAAUGGUUAUAUGAAACUUGCUGCUACAAGAUAUUGUCCCUAAUUGGCUGUUGGGGAAUCAGAUCUUGGACAUUUGUCAUUUAACAAGUGUAGGUGCUGUCUGUAGAGUAAUGAGAAAACACAGAGCUGGAAGUUGUAAUAUGCUUUGAUUCUAUCUCAAGCUUUUUCCUUUGUGACAUGAGGCAAGUUGUUCAACUUCUUAUCACCUCAGUUUUUCUAUCUGUAAAAUGAUCUAUCUUCUAGAGUUGUUGGAAGCAUUAAAAGAAAUAACGUAUGAAAAGCAUACGAAAAAUUAUGAAAUGUGUAAAAGUAUUAUAUAAUUUACCCUUAUUGUUGUUAAAAAGUAGAAUUAGCUGGGCACGGUGGCUCACGCCUGUAAUCCCAGCACUUUGGCAGGCUGAGGCAGGUGGAUCACUUGAGUGCAGGAGUUCGAGACCAGCCUGGGGAAUGUGGUGAAACCCCAUUUCUACUAAAAAUACAAAAACUGAGAUGAGAGGAUCACCUGAGCCUGGGGAGGUCGAGGCUGCUGUGAGCUGUGAUCAUGCCACUGCACUCCAGCCUGGGUGGCAGAGUGAAACCUCAUCUCGAAAUAUAUAUAUAUAUAUAUAUAUAUAUAUAUAUAU